CGACCGGCGCACGGGUGAGUAACGCGUAUGCAACCUGGCCGUGACAGAUGGAUAACCGGGAGAAAUCCCGCCUAAUACAGCAUGACGCCGCGGGAGGACAUCCUCCCGCGGCCAAAGGGGCGACCCGGUCACGGAUGGGCAUGCGGCGCAUUAGGUAGUUGGUGGGGCAACGGCCCACCAAGCCGACGAUGCGUAGGGGUUCUGAGAGGAAGGUCCCCCACAUUGGAACUGAGACACGGUCCAAACUCCUACGGAAGGCAGCAG
rnacentral:rRNA from 1 species